UUUCUUCAGAGACUGUCUCUAAUGCUGCCUUAUACUACUACUGUACUUUAUCUUGGACCUCACUUUUCCCUUGACAAUAGCUUUUGAUUCCAGCAUAUCACCUUUUAUACAACAGAUUGCUUCCAGUCCAGAGUCAAUCUGAAAAGAUCUUUCACAUAUUCUAUGCCCAGGUAUUGUUCUAGAGUUCCACCUACUUGAUGACAGUAACAAAGGCUUGUCAUCUGACCCAGCCUUACCCAAUGGAUUCUGACAUUUCACAAUCAUUUCACAAUCUUUUACUUGACUUUAUAUAUAGUAUUUGAACUUUCACUUUUAGAUAGAACACAGAAUAUAGCCACACUCUAGGAUAUUUCCUCUGGAUGCCAAGAUCAAUACCAGAUGAAGCAUCUGAAUUGGUUUUGGUGUAACAGAACCAACAAAUAUUUGGAGUGUAACAAAUUUCCAGCAGAAAAUAUUUUGGAAGAACUUCAUAAAAGGUAAAGAAGAGACAAAAUCAAUGGAUCCUCAGGUGGGAAAUACGAUGAGAAAUAUCAUUGGCUUGUGGACAAUAUCAUGUAUAUAUUGUUCAUUCAUGUUUUUCACUUACAAAAAAGAUUUUUGGAAGCAAUCUUUUCUGUGGAAUAUACAUGGGAUCCUCUCAGUGACUUAUUCAAUAGAAGUGGGUGUUUGUAUUUGUUAUUUGUGGACAAAGCACAGUUGUCCAGGUAAUGGUGACCUGGGAGCAGGGAUGGAUAGGGGGAAGAUAAUUAUACUUUAUUAAAGGGCAGUUCUCAUGAAAAACUCACUGGGUGUCAACUCCUUGUGCUCAUUCUGUUCUUACUCCAAUCUCUGGACAGUCCUGACCCCAGGUAUCAAAUUGUCCCUUUUAAAGACAGGUGUGACUCUGACUCUUUCCAGUUUUCCACAGAAUCUUGUGGCCCAGAAGUCUCUUGAGGAAUUUGGGGGUGGGGAAGGGAAAGGUUCCUGAGGAUGGAAUAGGUUGUAUAUAAUUCAGUUUGUCAGGUAAUGCAGAGGUGGUAGAGAGAGCCAGCUCUGGGCUUUGACUAGGGGUGGCAGAAGAGAUAAAUGGUUUCCACCUCCCUAGAGGAGAAAACUAAGAAGGGAAAUCAUAUCAUCUACCUUGUACCAAUUUCUAAGAUCUGUUUAUCCUUUAUUCGGCAGGAUUUAUUUACAAAGAGGACUGGAUGAAUUGGUGUUCUUGGAGUCUCAUUGUGAUCUUCAUCACACUCUUAAUAAUAUUUAUUUUUAAAUUUAUGUUACGAUAUUUUUACUUUUUUUUUAUAUUGCUCUUUUCAAUAACUUUUACCAAUACUGAUAGUGUUAUCUUUUUGAUUCCUGUAUUUAGGUUAUAUUUUUGGUGGUUUCUUCGUAUUAUUCAGUCAAAAAUGUGCUCUGCUUCUGGGGAAAAGGAAGAACCAUCUAAGUUGUGAGCACAGGAACCCCUUGUGUUUGCAAGGAGAAACUUUGACUGCUCUUUUCAGGAAAGAGCCUGGUUUCCCAGAGUUUGCCUUUUGAACUGGAACUGGAAGCUGCCCCACUGAUUUGCUCAUCUACUGAGUCAAGACUGAGCAUCUUUGUUGUGAUUUGCUGUAAUUAAGACCCUCUCACCAACUUUCUUAGAGUUCAUCUGAGCUGGCCUGAACACCCUUUUCACCCCAAUGAGACUGACCUUUCUUUUUAUUAUUAUUAUUAAAGCUUUUUUAUUUUCAAAACA